AUCAAAGCGAAAUACUCUUAUUUCUUGACUAUGUAAAUGAAUCACGUCCAUCCAGCCGUUAUCGAUUCUUUACACUGUUGAUUUAUAAGUAGAAAGUAGCCGUUAGUCAUGUCGGCUAAUUUCAGGGAUUAUUGUUAAUACAGAUGCUGGUAGUUUAUGAAUGCAAGAUUUGAUUAGACAAUACGAAGAUUAAAAUAAUACUUUAAUAAUAAUCAAUAAAUAGAAAAAUUUUUUCAAGCGCAAAAAGGUGAAGACAUCAGCGUAACGUGCUUUCACCUUCAAUCAAAGAUGAAGAAAGAUGAAAGGACUCGUUUAAAGAAUCAACGAAAUUAUAAAUAAAUCUUCGAUCAAAUAUUA